UGUAGGAGUGAGCCUGCUCGCGAUGGCGGUGUGUCAUUCAGCGAUAAUUCGACUGACACACCGCCAUCGCGAGCAGGCUCACUCCUACA
rnacentral:misc_RNA from 1 species